rnacentral:lncRNA from 1 species
AAUUCCAUUAUUACGAAUAGAGCAGCAAAUUGGUGAGUUCGCUCAGUAUUCAGCUCGGAAUAGGUACGAGCUAAGCUGGUCCGGACCCUUCGAGCAUGUGUUCGGCCCGUAGCUCUCCAGACUUUCGGACACGGUUUGAACAAUCCCCACGAAGCUCAGCCCGUUUUCCCAACCUGACCCAUUUGAGCCCAAAGCCUAGCUCGCCUUGCCAGCCCGAAUCACUCAGACCUCGAGCUCGGCCCAGACCAACCCAUUUGCCCAGUAACCUAACUAGAUAAUCAAACUUACGAUCUCUCGCAUUUGAAGCGAGAAUCAUACCACUAGACCAAAACUCAUGACGUAUCCCAAAAUAUUAGAUUUUAAUAAUAAAUACAUACAUACAUAUAAAAAAUGAAAAACAACUUCCUCUAGCAAAAAUCAAAUCCGCGACCUCUUGCACCUGAAGCGAAAAUUAUACCACUAAACCAAACACUCAUUGUGUAUCUCAAAAAUAUUAGAUUUUAAUAAUAAAUACAUAUACACAAACUGAUUUGGGUUGUUUCAGCACGUUCAGACCGGGCUCAGUUUGCCUAUCGGGUGAGCUGGUCCCACGAGCUAGACUGGGCAUAGAUUUUAGAUUUUAGACUUGACCAACUUGUUCUGCCACUUGUGUGGGUUGGGCUCAACCCAUACUGAACCCGUCCAAACCCGUGACCAAAUCAGAUCGAUCCAGCUCUAUCCAACCCAAUUUGCACCACUAAAUAUAAACUAACCCCAUUUGGGUUUAUAUAACAUUUGGACAUUAAAUCUACAAUCUUUAUGCGAUAUUCAUAUAGCCUUGAUUUCAAUCCAAAGACUUCCAAUUGAACAUGUGUUUUUAUUACAAGCGGUAAGAAAAUACAAGAUUACAUCAAAUUGGAUAUAAGUUCAGAAUCACAUCACGGUAAUGCCAACUAUUGCUCAUUAAGGACAAAAUAAAUAAACAAAUAACCACCAUUCAGUGAAAGAAAUAAUUAAUCUUUGCUUUUGGCAAUGAUUCCCCCAUGACCUCCCAUUUGAAAGUGCACAAGGUAGCCAACUAAGCUAAAAAAAAUUUAAAUAUGUGUUGUAUAGUACCUAUUCAAUAUUAAGUGUCUCUAGUAAAGAGAGAUCCAAUUUAAAAUAUGUAAGAAGGCUUGCGGACUCCAUCACAAUAGGACCCACAACCACUCUCCUCUGACUAAAGAGUAGCCAGUCCCAUAGCCAUCUAGACCCAUAAUCGAUCUCAUCCUGUGUAACGACCCAUCCCAGGCCGUUAAUGAAUCUCUAAUUGUUUGUAUUUACAAUCUUUUCAAAUAAAAUUAAUACAAAAAAAUCAUUAAACGUCAAGUCUUAUCACAGACCCAUCUCUUACUAUCCGAAUUCCCUAGUCGCCUGAAAAUAAAUUAAAAGAAGUGAAGUAUAAAUAUGAAGUGGAAUAUGCUCACGACUCACUAAUAAUCAAAGACCUAUAUCGGGAUUUCCUGGUACGUAACUGGUGGCUAGCCCGCCCACCUCACCUAGCCUUCUCAGAUACACGGUGCUAGGGUUUAUUUACAGCUCAUAAAUCCGUACCAUCAAUAACAAUGGCACUUCCACCAAUAACAAUCAUGAUAACAAUGUUAUGAAUUUUAAUAAAUCUCAUAAAUUUCAACAGAUAUCACACUUGUUCAAAGGAGUACAAAAUUAGAUAAUUUAAGAAAUAAUUCUGGAGUUUAAGAAAGUAUAUUGUAUACUUCCUACUUACCUCAAAUUGAAAUUGAGACUAUUAGAUAUGAAGAUUUAACUCCCAUGGUCAUUAUACUAAAAUUUUACAUCAAUCUGACAUCAUCUCAUCAUUAAUCUACGCCCAUGUCUUUCAUGAUCAAAGGUUAACCACACUAUAAUUUUCUUUAUCACUAUUUUUCUUUCUUUCAAUCUUUUUGUUCGUACUCUCCUUUCUCUCUAUAAACUUUGUCCUCCAAUGAAAGACAAAACGAGACCAAUGGCGGCCAUUGUGAGUCAUCUUAUACGUGUCAAUAAUUUUAUAAAAUUACGCUUUAUCCCUUAAUUUUUAAAUAAUUAUAUUAUCUAAAUAUUCUUUUUAAUUUUUAUCUCAAAAGUUAUGAAUUUUCCAAUUUAAUCCCAAAACGUAUUAAAUAGCUUAAAUUUAAUUCUAACAAUUCUUAAUUAUGUAAUUUCUGUAAAGAUAAUUAAGGGUCGGGGUAUUACAGCCUGGAUCGAGCCCGCCCAGGUCUGUGAUCAAAUCCGGUCGAUCCAGCUCGAUCUGGCCCAAUUUGCACCUUCGUCCAUGAGUCUCUCCUGAACCAACCCAAGUAGCUCUCAAAUUCAAUUCCCAUAUACAAAACUAAACCCUGUCUUGAAAAAGUCUAUGGUUGAUUCAGUUUUAGAAACAAUUUUGCAAAAUACUUUUUUUAGAAGUUGUUUUGAGAACGAAAAUAUUCAUUAUUUCAUGUAUUCUGAUAUUCUAGAAGCUAUUCUGCAAAUUGCAAAAUUGAUUCUUAAAAUAACAACCAAACAUAGCCUUUAGAAUUGACCCCCUCGAAUGUUUGCCCAAAUUGCCAAUUAGCUGGCAUCGUGUUAUAGCUGGUGAUAGUUCUUUCAUGGUGACCUGCAAAGAGAGGCUCUGGCCAUUGAGGUAGUUGUUUGUCUUGCCAAUUCUGGCCCCAGUUCCUUGACAUAGGUUACACCCUGUUUUAGACCCCUUGAUUGACGUUGGCGUUGCUGAUCAACACUAGGUUGAAUUAAGAGUGGCAAUUGAUUGUGAACCUUAUGCCUCCUUUCUUCACAUAGGGAACAUUUUUGUCCCAAGCUAAGGGGUGAAUCUCGCAAUGGAUCCCACAAAAUGUGAACUUGCCACUUCUAAGAGCAACGGUGAAAAGAGUGAAGCCAAACCCAUUUUUUUUACAAAUAAACAUGUAAUAUGACUCAAAAUUUCGGGCCCUAAUUAGGAAAAUAUCAAGUGAUAUAAUUUGGCUUAAAUUUUAUUAGUCAUUUUUUACCCCGAUCCUUGCAGAGUCUAUUUGGUUUCGAUCAUGUGAUAAAGAGGAGGUUUUGAACAACAGGACAACGAAUUAUCCAAAUUAGUCUUGGGCAAUUUGCAAGAAAGCAUGCUGAGCCAGGUCAAAGUGUUGGAGGGGAGGGCUGCACCCCAAACCAUUGUUAUUAUCCAGAGAAGGGUUAGAGGGGCAGAAGUUUAUAGAAGUCACAAUGAUGGUCCCUGGGAGGCACCAUUUCGUGUCAUCGUUGCAUUUGAUCUCGUAGCAUGACCUAUAACUCAGCCUAUUGUUGAAUAGAGUAGUGAUGAGUGCUGCAGUGUUAGUCUUAUAGCCUUGGUUGUACAAGUUGCCAUGCUCAUAAGCCCCUCAUGCAAUGCCAAACUCAUCAUUGUUAAAAAACCAUAUGGACCGUGUCCCCAAAACACAAAAUUUAGCAAUUUUGAGGUGCAAAUAAGUCAAUUUGGCUGUACAAACUCAAGGAUUAUAUGCAAAAGCAAUGCAAGUUUGUUUUUUUAAACAUACCCAUUGUGAAAGAUGCAUUGCCCCUACCGUAGAAAGUAGAUUGAGCACUUUCACACCCUCCAUAGUCACCAUAAGUGCCUCAGAAAUAUAAGUUGAAGAAGAGUAGAACAGGAACAAUAGAGAAAGUUGGAAUAGCCAUUGAGAGAGAAAGUUAGAGAGUGAGUGAGAGAAAUGUUGGAAAUUGGCUUUAACUUCAUGUUUGUGUUCCAAGAGUUUAACCCAUCUAUUUCCAAGCAAGAACAAUCAUUCCCAAUGUAGUUACCUUAUGCCCAGAAAUGAACAUAAACCACACACAUACUCAGAAACACACAAAAACAGAGAGACAUAUAUUUACGAGGUUCGACAAGUUGUCUAUGUCCUCGGGUGGCAAUGAUACAAUAUAUAGAAGAAAAAAAUGUACAAGCUCUUUGCUAUUCUCUCACUCUACACAUUAUUGCUCACACUUCUUCAACACCAUUCUAUAGCCUAUACAUGAGGUAUAUAUAGACUGAUUUACACAAAUUCUGAGAGCCAUAAAGGCUUCCUUGGGAGCUCAAAAGCUCCAUUGGGAGAGACCUACAUUAGGAAGAAUUGUUCUUGGAAAUGGAUGGGUCAAACUCUUGGAACCCAAGCAUGAAGUUAAAGCCAAUUUCCAACAAUCUUCACCUUCACGAAAACUUCUUCCAACUAGAGUAACGAUGUCAUCAAUGCGCCUUUAAGUGCCAUGCUGUGAAAAGAACUUCCAAAACUUCGUAUUGCCCCAUGCCGAAGUUAUUCGUCCUAUCAAAUUUCUCUACUUCAAAUUUGGGCAUCGUAGUCUUAUGCCUAGAGACAAUAUAAGUACAAGCAGUCUUCGAAGCUCUACUAUCUAAACAAUUUUAGCUCCAUCCAAACUGAUAUGGAGUCAAAAUCCACAAAAUCGAACCUCGCGGAUAGAUUUGGAAUACAGGAAAACCUUGGUGACUAAACCAAGAAUUUUAUAAAGUUCAGGGACGAAAAUAUAAUUAUCAAAACUUCAGGGGCACAACUAUAAUUUUCAUGAACUUUUUGGACCAAAACUAUAGUUUUGCCAAAAAUCA